rnacentral:misc_RNA from 1 species
UGGAAAAUAUAAUAAUAAUAUUGAUAAUAAUAAUAAUAAACAGAAUGCAACACAAACAAUCUUUCCCUCAAAAUCAGAAAAAAUUCUUCCAAAUCGAACAAUGCUUGUUUCUUUAUCCAGGUGACAAAAUCUUGGACACUGAAAUGUUUCUAAAUGUUUAAUGAAAUUGCAAGAAUUGGAAUUCGCACGCUACGAGUAUCAUCAGACCACACAAGUGAAGUUCUUGAGCAUUGUCCAUCUGGUAUGCCUUGUCCUUCAACAGUUACCGACAAAAGAUUUCUUCUCAUUUAAGAACUCGAAGGAAAGAACUUCGGGUUGCACUUGGAUUGUUAAAUAAUCAUUUGGUUUCAUUUUUGUCUUGUAAGUGGAGUUUGCCAUGCCAACAUUUGUUACUGUUCUAUGGAACUUGAAGAUAAAGGCUACCAUUGGUGUCACACGAAUGGUAAUUGCAGGAUAAUUGAAAUCUAAAGGCAGGAAUCUAUCAACCCCAGUAGGGCAAGUAAUGCUUUCUCCUGUGAUAGUUUCGAGUUGACCCGAUUUAAUACCUGAUCCACAUAACAAUUUGAUAUAAUCUUCCUUAUCAGCAUCAUAUACAAGUCCAGGAUCAGCUGCUUUUACUGGAUUGAUAUGUCCAGAUCCAUAUGAACAUACAGAUUUAGCUGUUCUAUUAUUCAUAGGCCAAGCAGUGGUCAUAAUAGCAGAUUUGAUGGCUGAAGACAAGUCAGGGUGAAUUGAUUUAACAUAGGAAGCUACACCAGCAGCAUGGGGGCAGGACAUGGAGGUACCUGAUAAAAUGCUGUAUUGAACUUGCCUCUUGUCUAGAGGUCCAUUUGAAGGUGAAGCAAUAGGUGAAGAUGCAGCCAAGAUAUCGAUACCUGGCGCAAAACAUCCAGUUUCAUGAUCUCCGGGAGAAGUGGAUUUGGAAGGAAGCAACAACAGGAGCAGUAAAAUCUCGGAUGCCUCUACUUUCGAGUAUGUUCACUGUAGGAUUUCUGCAAGAUUGGAGAGAUGUCAAAGUCAUUCCAAGCUAAAGGGAAAAAGCAGAAUUUAUCAACAAAAUGAGAGCUUAUAGAAAUCCAAACUUUGCGAAAUUCACAGGGUCCUCCAACAUCAACAUGUCCAAGAUUGUAAUGGCUGAUGCAGGUAUGGGGACAAUAAAUGAAACAUCAUCUAGUAGGGUAUUUUGCGCAACUGCACCCAAAGCACACGCUUUAUAAGCUUCAGCAACUCCACCAAACUGACUACAUAGCACUAUCUUUCCCUUCACCAAGUUUUCAUCUAUACAACCUUCAACACAUGACCUGAAAUGCAGCAACAAGUUAAUCCUCUUUCCAUGGUUCAUUAUUGCACGAAAAAAAAUGUUAUGUUUGAGACAGUAAGGCCAAUGAAGCUACUGGGAGUCAUUUAAGGAGCAUUGAUGCGAAACAUCUUUUCCAUAUGCCAGUGGAAACAUUGUUCCAUUCAAUGUGAAAGAGUUGACAGAAUUCCCCUGUCACGGUAUAAUAACUAGCUCCAACAAUUUUGUUAUUGCAAGUAAAAUUUCCGCCUCCUUCACAAGCACCCUUCCACUUCUUUGGAGCAGGGCCAAAACCUUCAUCAUUAAAACUCUCUGAUUCAGGCCAGAUUCCAGUGUCAAUAACACCAACUAUAACAUCGCUCUCAGCGGUUUUUUUCCUUCUUACUGUUUCAUGGAAACCCACGACAUCCCAUGAUCUUGUAGUGUGAAGUUUGAGAGUUGUGCUAGGGAAAAUAGACACUACUCCUUCCAUUCUAGCCAACUUCUGCACCUCACUAGCUGUAAGUUUGGCAGCAAAUCCAUUAAAACUUCUUUUGUAGCUCCUACUCAAGGAGUUUUCUACAGAACUGCUCUCAACAACUUCUUGUAGCAUAUUAAAGUCGUGGGAUGAUGGUGAGUAUUCUCCCUUCGGAAGUGAGCCCAUAUGUAUAAUGUGGACCUGCAUGAAAAUUCUCAACAUUAUCAUUCACACUUGUUAAAUCACCAUUUUCAGUGUCUUAAUGCGUGCAUGUUGGAGAAAAAUAAAAUGCCAGACUAAUAAAAACAGUACUUGCCUUUCUGUUUUCAUCGGUGGCACUGAAAGAUAUACUUGCAGUGAGCAUGAAAAAAAACAAAUUGCAAGAAGACAGGAGAGAUGCAUAUUUAAACAUUUUCAAUUUCUCAAAUAACUAGAUAUGAGUGGUGACUGUUUUAUAGUAGGAAUAAGAUUAAGGAGAAUGAGCCUUAUCUCAGAAAAUCAUGUCGUUUCCUUUGGACAGCAGAAUAGCUAUUGGCUACUAUA